AGUCGUCUGUAGUGUUCGUAAGUUCGCUUUAUGUAUUUUGACCUAACACUCUUUGAUCAGGGAGUCCAAUAGGUUUUCUUGCAGCGCACACGCCUCUCUAGGAGGACGUGCAAAACAAGAAACAGGACACCCACCUGUAU
rnacentral:sRNA from 1 species